AAAGUGUAGUAUCUGUUCUUAUCAGCUUAAUAUCUGAUACGCCUCCCAUUGGGGGGCUUCGAUAUUAAACUGAUUUUUGACACUAGGCGAAGUGUCAGGNGCUUGCUCCGCCUUCGCCACGGGUUGGC
rnacentral:snRNA from 1 species